GCUUCCGUAGCUCAACGGUUAGAGCGCCUCGAUAUCUUAGAGAUAGUGCUCCCACAUUUACCGCGGAGACGUGGGUUCGACUCCCACUGGGCGCA